rnacentral:rRNA from 1 species
GAUGAACGCUGGCGGCGUACCUAAUACAUGCAAGUCGAGCGAACGGACGAGAAGCUUGCUUCUCUGAUGUUAGCGGCGGACGGGUGAGUAACACGUGGAUAACCUACCUAUAAGACUGGGAUAACUUCGGGAAACCGGAGCUAAUACCGGAUAAUAUUUUGAACCGCAUGGUUCAAAAGUGAAAGACGGUCUUGCUGUCACUUAUAGAUGGAUCCGCGCUGCAUUAGCUAGUUGGUAAGGUAACGGCUUACCAAGGCAACGAUGCAUAGCCGACCUGAGAGGGUGAUCGGCCACACUGGAACUGAGACACGGUCCAGACUCCUACGGGAGGCAGCAGUAGGGAAUCUUCCGCAAUGGGCGAAAGCCUGACGGAGCAACGCCGCGUGAGUGAUGAAGGUCUUCGGAUCGUAAAACUCUGUUAUUAGGGAAGAACAUAUGUGUAAGUAACUGUGCACAUCUGGACGGUACCUAAGCAGAAAGCCACGGCUAACUACGU